rnacentral:rRNA from 1 species
UACGAAGGGGGCUAGCGUUGUUCGGAAUCACUGGGCGUAAAGGGUGCGUAGGCGGGUCUUUAAGUCAGGGGUGAAAUCCUGGAGCUCAACUCCAGAACUGCCUUUGAUACUGAGGAUCUUGAGUUCGGGAGAGGUGAGUGGAACUGCGAGUGUAGAGGUGAAAUUCGUAGAUAUUCGCAAGAACACCAGUGGCGAAGGCGGAUCACUGGCCCGAUACUGACGCUGAGGCACGAAAGCGUGGGGAGCAAACAGG